GAUGAACGCUGGCGGCGUGCCUAAUACAUGCAAGUCGAGCGAACGGACGAGAAGCUUGCUUCUCUGAUGUUAGCGGCGGACGGGUGAGUAACACGUGGAUAACCUACCUAUAAGACUGGGAUAACUUCGGGAAACCGGAGCUAAUACCGGAUAAUAUUUUGAACCGCAUGGUUCAAAAGUGAAAGACGGUCUUGCUGUCACUUAUAGGUGGAUCCGCGCUGCAUUAGCUAGUUGGUAAGGUAACGGCUUACCAAGGCAACGAUGCAUAGCCGACCUGAGAGGGUGAUCGGCCACACUGGAACUGAGACACGGUCCAGACUCCUACGGGAGGCAGCAGUAGGGAAUCUUCCGCAAUGGGCGAAAGCCUGACGGAGCAACGCCGCGUGAGUGAUGAAGGUCUUCGGAUCGUAAAACUCUGUUAUUAGGGAAGAACAUAUGUGUAAGUAACUGUGCACAUCUUGACGGUACCUAAUCAGAAAGCCACGGCUAAAUACGUG
rnacentral:rRNA from 1 species